CUGGUCAUGUCAACCUCAGGGAAAGAACUCUCAAAGACCUCAAAUGACUGAGGAAAGAGAGCAGCAGAAAGCUGUGAGUGGGAGAAAGUUAGAACAUGCAGAUCAAAGAAGCUUCACAGGCGGGUCAAGAGAAACCUAUAAGAAGUAGUAAAUGAAGAAGGAAAUCUCAUCUGAGAUGUUAUCUAAUACAAGAGUAGCAGUGGCUACUGUUACAAAAGAGACAACAGGUCCAGAAUGGAGUCGCUUGUGCUAAGUCCCCAUCAACAAGCCAAGACAUAUACCUAACUUAAUUACAGUUGCAACCUCUCUGAGGACUAGACUCUCAAACCACUCAGUCUGGAAUUAACUGGUCAGCACUAGCGAGGAUUCAUCACCCUAAAAGUGACAAGAAAGAGAAGUCCGAAUCCCUGCUGAAGUUUCAGCUAAGUCCCUGUAAUAAGUCUCUCUAAAUUGAAAGAAAGAUUAACUGUAUUUACAGAUUGAAUUUGAGAGAAAAAGCCUUUCACCAGUCAUCCCAGCCAGAGCUUUUGGGCAGAACAGCAGCUGCCUGUCCCUACAUGGACCUCCUCAUAGGGUUCAAAGCAGUGCUCCCCUUCCCUCUCGGGGGACAGCAGAGGUAGAGACACAGAUCUGGUUGUGGUUUUUAAAGCUGGGAGGAGGCCCAUCCUGACUCUACCUCAUACAGAUGGGGGAGUGGCAUCUACUGGCCCAUCUGUCCCCAUCCCAUUGAAACAGCAUGACUACCCCAAAGCAAGGGCAGAUGAAGAAGACAGUCUUGGCCGUGGCCUGGCGCUGCUCUCAUUGGCAAGACAGUGCCCUCCUCCAGCUGUGCCCCCUCGGAACACUGCAUGACACAAUGCCAAUGCCAAGGCUGACAGGGGCAGAAGGCCAGGGGACACUAGCUUCCCUCCAACCUGCUGCUGCUGAGCUUCCAUAAGAUCCGUGUGCACAGUGAUGGAAUGAAGAGGACCGUCCACUGGCUAGUCUUCAGCGCAAGAGCAAACAGGCCUCAGUGCAGGUCAGUAGAUGACAUGCAGGGAAAACAGGCCAAGAGUCAGGAAACAGGCAUGUGCCUCCCUACACACUCACGGCUCCUUCAUGAACUCGGUCCUGAGGAAAUGAUGAAGCCAAAACUGAGACUAUUUUGAAGACACUCUGCUUCAAGCCCCUUUCCACAUUCACUGCAUACAGCCCAAAGCAAGGUCAUCGCCACUUGUGCAGCUUCUCUCCACUCCGACAGCAAGUGUGCACAAGUUUGGUUAGGAAUCCCGUGGGAAAUUCAGCCGGAAAAUAGCAAUGUAAGGGAGCUGGUCACCCCACGACGCCUCACAUUCAACUGAGUGAGGAGAGUUCCCUGGAAUUGAGUGUUUCACUGACUCAUCAAAAUGACAUGUUCUUAGCCAACACUGGAGAAAUCCUCUUCCCACACACACCCACAUUUGAAGUGAAAUGUCCAUUGC
ensembl:lncRNA